rnacentral:rRNA from 1 species
UACAGAGGAGCCAAGCGUUGUCCGGAUUGACUGGGCGUAAAGCGCACGCAGGCGGCCGCGCGCGUGGGGUGUGAAAUCUGGCCGCUUAACGGCCAGGCGCCAUCCCAUACGGCGCGACUGGAGUGAUGCAGAGGUCGAUGGAAUUGCCGGUGUAGUGGUGAAAUGCGUAGAGAUCGGCAGGAACACCCAGGGGGAAACCAGUCGACUGGGCAUCUACUGACGCUGAGGUGCGAGAGCGUGGGGAGCGAACCGG